rnacentral:rRNA from 1 species
GACGAACGCUGGCGGCGUGCUUAACACAUGCAAGUCGAGCGGGAUCCAACCGGUGGCAACACCGGGGAAGAUCUAGCGGCGAACGGGUGAGUAACACGUGAGCAACCUGCCCCGAAGACUGGGAUAACACCGGGAAACCGGUGCUAAUACCGGAUGUCGUCAUUAGGCCGCAUGACCUGAUGAUGAAAGGAUUCAUCGCUUCGGGAGGGGCUCGCGGGCCAUCAGCUGUUGGUGGGGUAACGGCCUACCAAGGCGACGACGGCUAGCUGGUCUGAGAGGACGACCAGCCACACUGGGACUGAGACACGGUCCCGACUCCUACGGGAGGCAGCAGGUGGGGUAAUUUUCCGCAAUGGGCGAAAGCCUGACGGAGUGACGCCGC